UUUUAUUUAAUUUUGUUUUUCAACACUUUAAUGAAUUGCUUUACACCUAAUUCAUAAAUUUAUUGAUUUCUAUUCUUUAAUGAAUGUCAUACCGAAAUUGCUAAGUAUUUCAACACUGUUUAAAAAUGAUUUCCAUAAAAUAUUAACAUUGUUUGCGAUCAAAUCUUAAUAGCUUUGCCCUGUAAACAUCUCAGUCUAGCUGUUACCAUUUCGAUUGUGUGUUGAUAGAUCCGUCAGAGUGAGGACAAACAGUUUUAUAUAUUCGAGCUUGGGAAACAUACCUUUUCCACAAAAGCCGCAGUAUUCGCUCUUACGGGAGCCCGUUGUGUGCGUUGCCUCAUGACACUUGAGAUGGCGUUGAUUGAUGAACAGUCUGUCGCAGCCGCUGUGUCGACAUCUCAGCUGCCGCUCGGGCUUGUGCCAAUUCAUGUGGUAAUGCAAACUUUUACGGGUGAAGAAACGCUUCUCGCACAUGCUGCACUCGAAAUCCGUCUCCGAGUGAUAUUUCUCAAUGUGAUGGCGUAGAUUAUGACGGUCGCCGUAUUUUUUGCCGCACACCUCGCAGCCAUAAUGCUUCACAACAUGGCUGCUCUUCAUGUGCACCGUACGCGAUGCGGCGUCUUGGAAACAUUCCGUGCAUUCCGGACAAUUGUAUGGCUGAUCCGGAUCAUGGGCGCUACUAAUGUGCUCUAAGAGCAAAUGUUGCAGUUCGUAGCUCUCUUCAGUUAACAAACUCCAUGCGAAUUUGCGCCAUUUCACUCUGCCAACGGGCUGGAUGGAACAAGUCCAGCCAAUAGUUGUUGUUGCC